UACGUAGGGUGCAAGCGUUGUCCGGAAUUAUUGGGCGUAAAGAGCUCGUAGGUGGCCUGUCGCGUCGGCUGUGAAAACUCGGGGCUCAACUCCGAGCUUGCAGUCGAUACGGCAGGCUAGAGUUCGGCAGGGGAGACUGGAAUUCCGUGGUGUAGCGGUGAAAUGCGCAGAUAUCAGGAGGAACACCGGUGGCGAAGGCGGGUCUCUGGGCCGAUACUGACGCUGAGGAGCGAAAGCGUGGGGGGAGCAACAGG
rnacentral:rRNA from 1 species